rnacentral:rRNA from 1 species
GUGCCAGCCGCCGCGGUAAUACGGAGGAUCCAAGCGUUAUCCGGAUUUAUUGGGUUUAAAGGGUGCGUAGGCGGACUUAUAAGUCAGCGGUGAAAGUUUGCAGCUCAACUGUAAAAUUGCCGUUGAAACUGUUAGUCUUGAGUGUAAAUGAGGUAGGCGGAAUGUGUUGUGUAGCGGUGAAAUGCUUAGAUAUAACACAGAACACCAAUUGCGAAGGCAGCUUACUGGGAUACAACUGACGCUGAGGCACGAAAGCGUGGGGAUCAAACAGGAUUAGAAACCCUCGUAGUCC